AAGGUUGGGCAUGUUUGCUAGUCUACCUUGCCACGAAGCACAAAGGUUGACACACAAGGACUUUCCAAUUAUCCAGCAAUGGUACUGUUCCUUUACCCUCUCUUCGAUUUUGAGAAAGUAGUCAUGUUGGGAGUCUGGCUCUCGAGAUUCGGAGGACGGUGCCUCUUCGAUUUUGGAGCAAGCAAUCUUAUUGGGAGUGUUUUCUCGAAUGUGAGUAAAGGUUGGGCAUGUUUGCUAGUCUACCUUGCCACGAAGCACAGAGGUUGACACACAGGGACUUUCCAAUUAUCCAGCAGUGGUACUGUUCCUUUACAGUUGUGGGUAAUAAUAUGGUAGCUAGACCUUCAAAAUUUAUGUGUCUAAACUUUUGUUAGUGCUGUUUCUUUGCUAUUCUUUUACCUUUCUUGGUCAGAGCGAUGUAGUGGGAGCUGCAAGCUUCACGUGCUCAACUUUGGCAGAGAACUUUGGCAAAGUUAUUUGUGGUACCCAUGAGCUAUUGUUGCGUGUGGGAAGUGGGGUGAUUGAACAGUAAGAUUCAUGUGCUUUCUACUUCACCAGAAGUCUUCGACAGAAUGCCCAUAAUUUCUGCAAAGCUGAGUGUGCGUGUGACAGGUGCUGACAAGGCUAGAAAAGUAGGUGCCUCUUCGAUUUCUGAGAUCGGCCCUCGUGGUCUCUGAGCAGCCCAGCUUUUGAGAAAGCGAGCGCCUCUUCGAUUGAUUCGGAGAACGAUGCCUCAUCGAUUUUUGAGAAAGCAAUCAUGCUGGGGGUCUGGCUCUCGAGAUUCGGGGAGCAGUGUCUCUUCGAUUUUUGAGAAAGUAAUCAUGUUGGGAGUCUGGCUCUCGAGAUUCGGAGGGCGGUGCCUCUUCGAUUUUGGAGUAAGCAAUCUUGUUGGGAGUGUUUUCUCGAAUGUGAGUAAAGGUUGGGCAUGUUUGCUAGUCUACCUUGCCACGAAGCACAGAGGUUGACACACAGGGACUUUCCAAUUAUCCAGCAAUGGUACUGUUCCUUUACCCUCUCUUCGAUUUUUAAGAAAGUAGUCAUGUUGGGAGUCUGGCUCUCGAGAUUCGGAGGACGGUGCCUCUUCGAUUUUGGAGCAAGCAAUCUUAUUGGGAGUGUUUUCUCGAAUGUGAGUAAAGGUUGGGCAUGUUUGUUAGUCUACCUUGCCACGAAGCACAGAGGUUGACACACAGGGACUUUCCAAUUAUCCAACAGUGGUACUGUUCCUUUACCCUUGUGGGUAAUAAUAUGGUAGCUAGACCUUCAAAAUUUAUGGGUCUAAACUUUGUUAGUGCUGUUUCUUUGCUAUUCUUUUACCC
rnacentral:lncRNA from 1 species